AACGAACGCUGGCGGCAUGCCUAACACAUGCAAGUCGAACGAGACCUUCGGGUCUAGUGGCGCACGGGUGCGUAACGCGUGGGAACCUGCCCUUAGGUUCGGAAUAACUCUCCGACAGGGGUGCUAAUACCGGAUAAUGUCUUCGGACCAAAGAUUUAUCGCCUUUGGAUGGGCCCGCGUUGGAUUAGCUAGUUGGUAGGGUAAAAGCCUACCAAGGCGACGAUCCAUAGCUGGUCUGAGAGGAUGGUCAGCCACACUGGGACUGAGACACGGCCCAGACUCCUACGGGAGGCAGCAGUGGGGAAUAUUGGAAAAUGGGCGGAAGCCUGAUCCAGCAAUGCCGCGUGAGUGAUGAAGGCCGUAGAGUUGUAAAGCUCUUUUACCCGGGAUGAUAAUGACAGUACCGGGAGAAUAAGCCCCGGCUAACUCCGUG
rnacentral:rRNA from 1 species